GGCCAUCUACUGCUUUAUGCCCAUGACUGCAGAAGACAGUGAUCAGAUGACACUGUGAAAGAUUCUUUUAAGCUCCAGGGUCAUUUUUCUCUGUCAGUUCUGCCUGAAAAAGAUGCUCAACAUCACUCAUCAUCAGGGAAAUGCAAA